UGCCAGGACAAGCAGCAUGUGGAGAUGCCAGUAAGCCACGAGCCAUGUGGCAAGAUAAUGUGGUUUCAUGCCUAGAGCCACAAAAUAACUGAAGAACAAACACAUGGCAAGAAGCUGCGUGGGAUGUCAAAAGAGUAACAGAGACAUCCAGUCCUGCAUUAUGGCAUAUGCCCACACGCCAAAUGUUGACCUGGUAUCUCCAAUCAGCUCCAUUUACAACAAAUCGAUGAACGAAUACAAAUGGCUAAUAGAGACUUUUAAACAUAUUUAUUCUCAUUAUCAUCAUUAGUCAUCGUGGAAGUACAAAUUAAAACUACUUUGAGGUUCACCCCUGCCAAAAUGGCUAUCAUCAAGAAAUCAAAUGACUACAAAAGA